UCAUAGCUUGUAAUCCUUAGCCAAUCUCCCUUGGUGGAUAACGGCCAGCAUUUGAGUUCGAAGAAGCAGAAGAAGAAGAAGAUUUGUCGCGACGGUUUCCGAAGGGCUCGCAUUUACGUUACAACAUGGGAAAUGUGUUUGGGAACUGCUUCCAGGUGAAGAUGACGUCACGGAAGAUUGCGAGAGAUGAGAUCGGAAGGCCAUCAAAUUUUCAGCAUAACACCCACCUGAGCUCCAUUGAUUACGGUCGCUAUUUACACGCGUCAGAUUCCCUGAGGCGAAAAAUGGCUUCGAAAACAGGCGGAGGGACAGGGACAGGAGGAGUGAUUGCUUGAGGGAUUCUUCUUUCUCGUAUCCCUAUCCAAAGACCGAUGGAUCUCCUUGGACAAGGUUUCCACUGAAUGCUCCGAAGCAGUGCAACACGAAAGACUCGCUUCACAUGUCAUCCUGUUUAUCCCAUUCGAUCAUCCUUGUUUUGAACGAUCGCUUUCUUUUUCUUUUUUCUCUCUCUCUUUUCUUUUUUUUUCCUUCAGUAAA